rnacentral:rRNA from 1 species
GCUUACGGCCACACAGGCCUGAGUACGCCUGCUCUCGUGCCGAUCUCGGAAGCUAAGCAGGGUCGGGCUCCUGCGGUUAGUACUUGGAUGGGAGACCGCCUGGGAAUACCAGGUGCUGUAAGCU